rnacentral:rRNA from 1 species
GGGCUUCUGAUGCUAUUGCACCACAUGUGUUUUUUAUUGAACAAAUUUCUUUGGUGGCGGGAGCAAUCCUACCGCCAGAGGUUAUAACUAAACCAAACUUUUUAUUUACAGUCAAACUUGAUUUAUUAUUACAAUAGUCAAAACUUUCAACAACGGAUCUCUUGGUUCUCGCAUCGAUGAAGAACGCAGCGAAAUGCGAUACGUAAUAUGAAUUGCAGAUAUUCGUGAAUCAUCGAAUCUUUGAACGCACAUUGCGCCCUUUGGUAUUCCAAAGGGCAUGCCUGUUUGAGCGUCAUUUCUCCCUCAAACCUCCGGGUUUGGUGUUGAGCAAUACGCUAGGUUUGUUUGAAAGAAUUUACGUGGAAACUUAUUUUAAGCGAAUUAAGGUUAUCCAAAACGCUUAUUUUGCUAGUGGCCACCACAAUUUAUUUCAUAACUUUGACCUCAAAUCAGGUAGGACUACCCGCUGAACUUAAACAUAUCAAUAAACGGGAGGAAAA